rnacentral:rRNA from 1 species
GACGAACGCUGGCGGCGUGCUUAACACAUGCAAGUCGAACGGAAAGGCCCUGCUUUUGUGGGGUGCUCGAGGGGCGAACGGGUGAGUAACACGUGAGUAACCUGCCCUUGACUUUGGGAUAACUUCAUGAAACUGGGGCUAAUACCGGAUAGGAGCUCCUGCUGCAUGGUGGGGGUGGGAAAGUUUCGGCGGUUGGGGAUGGACUCGCGGCUUAUCAGCUUGUUGGUUGGGUAGUGGCUUACCAAGGCUUGGACGGGUGGCCGGCCUGGGAGGGUGACCGGCCACAUUGGGACUGAGAUACGGCCCAGACUCCUACGGGAGGCAGCAGUGGGGAAUAUUGCACAAUGGGAGGAAGCCUGAUGCAGCACAGCAGCGUGGGGGAUGACGGCAUUCGGGUUGUAAACCGCUUUCGCCUGUGACGAAGCGUGAGUGACGGUAAUGGGUAAAGAAGCACCGGCUAACUACGUG